UUUUUAAUUACUUUCUUUCAUUUACUUAUUUUACAUAAAGCUUCUGUUUUAAAUAUAUAGAGAUUAUCAAUAAUUUCAAAAGUGCCCGAUUCACAUCUAUAAUUCGCUAGGGAUUUUUUUAUAACUCCCUGACAUUUUUAUUUUAGCAUUAUAAAACUUUUCUGGUUCGACUUUAUUUUUAAGUUUCGAAUUUUGAUUUGGUUUCAACUAACACGGGAUCAACG
rnacentral:lncRNA from 1 species